rnacentral:rRNA from 1 species
AAGAGAUCGGGAUAACACCUGGAAACAGAUGCUAAUACCGGAUAAUAACAGAUGAUGCCUAUCAACUGUUUAAAAGAUGGUUCUGCUAUCACUCUUGGAUGGACCUGCGGUGCAUUAGCUAGUUGGUAGGGUAACGGCCUACCAAGGCGAUGAUGCAUAGCCGAGUUGAGAGACUGAUCGGCCACAUUGGGACUGAGACACGGNCCCAAACUCCUACGGGAGGCAGCAGCA